CCCUGGAGCGGGGACGUGUGCACCAGAGGAAAGGCCGCCGGACAGCGGCGUCCACGGAAAAGCCAUUCUGACCAGUGUGAGAUGAUACCUCCCGUGGUCUGGGUUUACAUGGCCCUGAUGCUGAGAGAUGAUUCUCCGAGUGCCCGCCGCUGGUGGCAUUUCAGCUCCCGGGGACAUGGCCACGGACCAUGCAUGGCCCGGCCCCAGCAGCGCCCCUGCGGUGGCCAGAACGGGCCAGUGGAGGCGGCAAGUACGUUCUGCUGAGCUCCUACGGGCGCGACCUGAAGAAAUGUCUGAUUCAGCCUUUUCCAGUCACCCGGCAGCUGUCUCUUCUUCAUGGAAAUUUUAAAAUGACGUUUCUAUUUUCAGUUUUGAUUCCAUUAAAAUCUGGCGUAUUCCGGUCUUCCUGACAGUCUCGCGGAAGCGUGAGGUGUGCUGAGUCCCCGGUGGCCGGCCCGGCCAUCACGCUCAUCACUGCCGGACAGACCGUCCCUCGGCGGCCCGGCCCACCGGGGGCGACCGCACGUGCCCAUCCCGUGGCCCAGAAGGAAGAUUUUGUUAUAAAAGAAAAAAAGUAUUUUUGCCAGGGCAAAAUAGGCCAGCCUCUUGGCUUUCUCUUUAAAAAGGAAAAAACAGAGGGGCGCCUGGGUGGCUCAGUGGGUUAAGCCUC